CGAUUUAUUAUUUUCACCACCGGGAAUGGUAAAGGUCGAACCCGAGCUGUUAAAAUCAAUACAUGACAAACUGGGCAUACUUUAAUGAAUUAGUAAAUAUAUAAAGGAGUUGAAGGCAAGCCUCAAGAUGAGUGACGAAAAAGCUGCGACAUUGGAGUUGAAGGCAAGCUAAAAGGCUAUCAUAACAUGUGGGAUUCUUCACGGGGACCAGGAAUCGGAACGUCUUUGAAUGGUCUACAAAGCAUGCCCCCAGAUAUCUCGUACAGUGGAAACACUUGCACCUCGUCCACGUCGGCAAUAACUCAUCACUCCUACUCCAGGUGAAGAAACUGUGGGCAAUGUCGUCGGAUUGCGUGGACAGGGCAAACGCAAGGAUUUUGUUGGAGGGAUCCAUUGCCAUCCUGCACCUCCAUGACUUCCUUACGUUGAAGCCCAAUGAGUGGCAUAGUGGGGAGGUCAUUGACUUCUACCUCCAACUGAAGAGGAUUGACUUUCAAGUGGAGAGGGAUGUUUUUAUUGUGGAUCACCUUCUGGCAGGGAUAAUCCUGCAUGAGGAUAAGGUGGUGAUGCGCAAGAACACAUUGUCAAAGACCAGUCUGGAGCAGCACAGUUGCUUGAUUGGAGCUUGCAACGUGGCAAACUACCACUGAAUACGCUUGAGGACCUGGGACCAUGCCUCAGGACUACCUGGCCUGAUGACUCUAUGCUGUCCCCAGUCCACCUGGUUGUGCUGCUGCUCCAGCUUCAACUGUUCUGCCUGUGGUUAUGGAACCCUGACCUGUUCACCUGUAAUGGGUGCGUGUCGUGGCAGGGACGGGCAGGAAAACUAACUUGGUAUUAACGGAGUCGUUUAAUAAGUGCUCAUAAAACUCCAAAAACAAAAAUAUACCAAAAAAUAAUGCAAGUGGGUACAAAACCCGUCGCACAUCGAAACAUGACUUGCACAUAACAUACAAUAAAAUACCAUCUCCGACAAGGACAUGAGGGGAAACAGAGGGUUAAAUACACAACAUGUAAUUGAUGGGAUUGAAACCAGGUGUGAAGGAAGACAAGACAAAAACAAUGGAAAAUGAAACAUUUAUCAUUGAUGGCUAGAAGGUCGGUGACGUCGACCGCCAAACACCGCCCGAACAAGGAGAGGGACCGACUUCUGUGGAAGUCGUGACAUCACCGGACGUGCGACCUUGUCCCGAACCUGCUGUUUUUGACUAUCUCUCUCUCUACAACACUUGCUGACUCUAACUCUGAAUGCUUGGCUAUAAAAGCCAACCUACAUUUACUCCUGAGGUGCUGACCUGUUACUCUCUACAACCACUGUGAUUAUUAUUAUUUGACCCUGCUGGUCAUCUAUGAACGUUUGAACAUCUUGGCCAUGUACUGUUAUAAUCUCCACCCGGCACAGCCAGAAGAGGACUGGCCACCCCUCAGAGCCUGGUUCCUCUCGGUUUCUUCCUAGGUUCCUGCCUUUCUAGGGAAUUUUUCCUAGCCCCCAUGCUUCUACAUCUGCAUUGCUUGCUGUUUUAGGUUGGGUUUCUGUAUAGCUCUUUGGCUUUAUAAAUACAUUCGAUUUUUUUUUUUUUUUUACCCCUUUUUCGUGGUAUCCAAUUGUUUAGUAGCUACUAUCUUGUCUCAUCGCUACAACUCCCAUACGGGCUCGGGAGAGACAAAGGUUGAAAGUCAUGCGUCCUCCGAUACACAACCCAACCAAGCCGCACUGCUUCUUAACACAGCGCCCUCCAACCCGGAAGCCAGCCGCACCAAUGUGUCGGAGGAAACACCGUGCACCUGGCAACCCUGGUUAGCGCACACUGCGCCCGGCCCGCCACAGGAGUCGCUGGUGCGCGAUGAGACAAGGAUUUCCCUACCGGCCAAACCCUCCCUAUCCCAGACAAUGCUAGGCCAAUUGUGCGUCGCCCCACGGACUUCCCGGUCGCGGCCGGUUACGACAGAGCCUGGGCGCGAACCCAGAGUCUCUGGUGGUGCAGCGCCCUUAACCUCUGCGCCACCCGGGAGGCUAUUUGAUUGAUGUUUUAGGGCUGUCACCGACAGAAAAAAAUCUUGGUCGACUGAGAUCUGUUCUUUCGACCAAUCAAUUGGUCGCAAUGUUUAAAUGUAUUUAAACACGCCCUAUGUGUUUGAAGAAACCCACUACAUAUGCUUUGAGCUUGUCUGAUGCUUAAGCACCCUGUUUGAUUAAAUAAUUUUGCUGUUGCAUGAGGCUUGGCGCUCACGGAGUCAGUAGGCUAUUAAACACUGAAACAGCCAACAGAAGCCGGAACUGUCUUUCUGUAGAGAUGUAACAGUUAGGCUAUUGAUUAUAUAACUAAUUAAGUGUGUUUGCGCUCUCCUCAAUUUUAGGCUUAGCCCUGUUGGCACAGGACUAGUAUUACUAGAGAACAUUGGUUAUGUAAUUAUUACCCCAAAAUGUCCCUUAUUCCAGAGGAUGAUACGUAUCUGGUUCGUACGACUUGCCAAAACUAUAGUUUAACACUAGUUUUAAUGACUCCAACCUAAGUGUAUGUAAACCUCCGACUUCAACAUGCUGUAAUCUGAAGGACAGGCUUCCAGCAGUUCUGAGAGUGUUACAGGAUAACACACUUGAAAAUAGUGGUGAUAGAUCAGUGGAGGCAAGGGGCCUUCUUUCUCAGAUUUACAUUUCAUAGGGCUUUUGGUGACCUUUUGUAAAGUGCUUGGUGAUGCCAAACGUCUUUCUGACAUGCCCCAAUCAAGCUUUCUUGACCUAGCAAGGGCUGUGGACCUAGUAGGUGCCCUUACAGACACACUACAGGAAGGGCUGUGGAUCUAGUAGGUGCCCUUACAGACACAUUACAGGACUACAGAAGUGAGGAUUACUUUGAAGAACUAUGGAACGAGGUUGAAGAGAUUGCAGAGCACUGCAAAAUAAGUGUACAAACAGUGUGUAAAAAAGCCUAAAACGAGCUUAAAAUCUCACGACUCAUUGAUGAUGAGCAAUGAAGGACAGAAAAAUAGUGACCAAAUUGGUAGUGACAGCAUCCAAAGAGCUAUCUUUUAUCAGGUGCUUCAUGCUUGACAGUCUCACAGCUGAGGUGCAGAGGACUUUUUCAAAGAAGAAUUGCGAGAUAAUGCAAGGGGUCCAGUCUCUCAACCCAAAGAAUACAACAUUCUUGAAUGAGGAGCCUCUGUUUGCCUUUGCUCAGACCUUUGAGUCAGAUUUAGAGGACCUCAAACAUGAGGUUCAUCAAACCACGCAGCUUCUUAAUAGGAUAGAGAAAAGUGUAAGGGACAGACCGUCUACUCUUCUUGACUUUGUUGUGUUUCUAGAACCUUAUAAAGAGGUCUUCCAUGAACUAUUUCGACUUUGUAAGAUUUCUGUUGUUACACCAGUCAGCAGUGCUUCUUGUAAGAGAAGAUUCUCAGCUUUAAAACCAAAAACCAAAACUUUUCUUUGCUAUUAGUUAACAUAAUAUAUGUGAGCAUAAAUAUGAUAUUGUAAGUUUAUAGUAUUGAUGGGCACCAAAAAAUGUAUUUAUUUAUUUUUAAGUCCGUUUCUGAUUGAUACCUGGCAUGUCAAAUUGCAGUGUUUUUUUGUAAAUGUACUUUUUGGUAAAUAAACUAUGCAAUUUAUGUAACA